AUCGUUCAUCGGCAAGGUGCUCGCGCCGGCCCGGUUCCUGUCCGGGCUGUCGUCGGGGUUCGCCUUCUCGGACGUCUC
rnacentral:tRNA from 1 species